rnacentral:lncRNA from 1 species
GAAGGCCUGAGGUUGGACCUUGAGGAAUCUUUGACUCCACUGACCAGUCACUCCCCUCACUUUAGUCCUGGCCGUAGGGAGUGAGCCUCCAAAAGAAACAGAGGAGGGGCAGCAGGACGGAGGGGACCAGGACCUGGUGUCUUCCCCGCCUUGUGACUCCCCUUACCAGGGAUCCCAGUCUCCAGCUGGAAAACUUUGCUAAAUGACGCACGGUGAAUGUCCCUCAGGGAAGGGGGCCAAGUGACCUCCGUGCAAAGCUCUUCUCCCCCUUCCUGUUACCGCACUGGGGAUCCAGCUGCUGGGCCCAGGACACUGCUAAGUGGUUCCUCCCAUAGGUGCCACUCCAGAGACAGUGAAGGACACAGGGUCAGGCAGGCAGCUGCAGUGGCUGCCCCCACACAGCCUAGAACGGGGCCACGGGCGAGAGCGGCUGGAAGGCAGGGCAUGGGUCCAGCUGGUUUGCUAUGUAUCCCCCGUUCCUUGUUCAGAUCCCAUGCAGGGGUCUGCGUAAUUGUUAUUUGAGACCCCCAUAGAUGUGAGGUUGUAGGUUAAAAAAAAAGUCACCGUAAUGGAAGAAUGUCAAUGAACUGACCACUUAAAAAGUCCCUGCUGAACGUCUCUCCUUGCUCAACAUCAGCAUCAACCCCUGCCCGUCACUUAACAUCUAUGUCCAUCAGGUUCUCUUUGGUUGUUGGGUGUGAUCAGCAACUGACCAUCCCAUGCCAAAGGAUGGCAUGGUGCAACUGAAAUCCUGUGAGAGUUGCAGGAUUUAACGAAGCCAAUGAAAGGGGACACUGGAGGACUCUUCUAAUGCCACACAAAGUCCUAGACAAAUUCGAAACCUGGCAGAGGGCGGCUAGUUCACAACAGAAGAAGAGAAAAUUGGCAGCAAUGAGUCAUGACAGGAAACUUUCAUCAUUCUCCUGUCAGUGAAAUAUGAAAUGAAAAAAUGUCAUACCACGCUAGCAUCUAAUUUUGUUCAAAAAAAUUAUCCCCCUUAACCCAAUAAAUACUUGAUUUGCUCUUUGUUCAUUGAAA